GACGAACGCUGGCGGCGUGCUUAACACAUGCAAGUCGAGCGGUAAGGCCCUUUCGGGGGUACACGAGCGGCGAACGGGUGAGUAACACGUGGGCGACCUGCCCUCAGCUCUGGGAUAAGCCUGGGAAACCGGGUCUAAUACUGGAUAUGACUCCAUGACGCAUGUUGUGGGGUGGAAAGCCUUGUGCGGCUGAGGAUGGGCCCGCGGCCUAUCAGCUUGUUGGUGGGGUGANGGCCUACCAAGGCGACGACGGGUAGCCGGCCUGAGAGGGCGACCGGCCACACUGGGACUGAGACACGGCCCAGACUCCUACGGGAGGCAGCAGUGGGGAAUCUUGCGCAAUGGGCGAAAGCCUGACGCAGCGACGCCGCGUGAGGGAUGACGGCCUCGGUUGUAA
rnacentral:rRNA from 1 species